rnacentral:rRNA from 1 species
AUUGAACGCUGGCGGCAGGCUUAACACAUGCAAGUCGAGCGGGGUGAUGGUGCUUGCACUAUCACUUAGCGGCGGACGGGUGAGUAAUGCUUAGGAAUCUGCCUAUUAGUGGGGGACAACAUCUCGAAAGGGAUGCUAAUACCGCAUACGUCCUACGGGAGAAAGCAGGGGAUCACUUGUGACCUUGCGCUAAUAGAUGAGCCUAAGUCGGAUUAGCUAGUUGGUGGGGUAAAGGCCUACCAAGGCGACGAUCUGUAGCGGGUCUGAGAGGAUGAUCCGCCACACUGGGAAUGAGACACGGCCCAGACUCCUCCGGGAGGAAGCAGUGGGGAAUAUUGGACAAUGGGGGGAACCCUGAUCCAGCCAUGCCGCGUGUGUGAAGAAGGCCUUAUGGUUGUAAAGCACUUUAAGCGAGGAGGAGGCUCUUUUGGUCAAUACCCAGAAUGAGUGGACGUUACUCGCAGAAUAAGCACCGGCUAACUCUGUGCCAGCCGCCGCCGUAA